UACGUAGGGGGCAAGCGUUGUCCGGAAUCAUUGGGCGUAAAGAGCGUGUAGGCGGCCCGAUAAGUCCGCUGUGAAAGUCCAAGGGCUCAACCCUGGAACGCCGGUGGAUACUGUCGGGCUAGAGUCCGGAAGAGGCGAGUGGAAUUCCUGGUGUAGCGGUGGAAUGCGCAGAUAUCAGGAGGAACACCGAUGGCGAAGGCAGCUCGCUGGGACGGUACUGACGCUGGAGGCGCGAAAGCGUGGGGAGCGAACAGG
rnacentral:rRNA from 1 species